rnacentral:rRNA from 1 species
UACGUAAGUGGCGAGCGUUAUCCGGAAUUACUGGGCGUAAAGCGUGCGUAGGCGGUUAGUGUGUGGAAUUGAAAGCCCGGGCUCAACUCCGGACCGGUUCCCAAACUGCUAGACUCGAGCAUAUCAGAGGACAGUGGAAUUCCCGGUGUAGCGGUAAUAUGCGUAGAUAUCGGAGGAACACCAGUGGCGAAGGCGACUUCCUGGCCUGUUCUUGACGCUGAGGCGCGAAAGCUAGGGGAGCAAACGGG